GCUUGUCUCAAAGAUUAAGCCAUGCAUGUCUCAGCAUAAGCUUCAACACGGUGAAACUGCAAAUGGCUCAUUAAAGCAGUUACAAUUUAUUUGAUGGUCACUGUUACAUGGAUAACUGUGGUAAUUCUAGAGCUAAUACAUGCAUCAAAACCUGACUCUUGGGAAGGGUUGUGUUUAUUAGAUACAAAACCAAUUCAGGUUCUUCCUGAUUCCUCUGGUGAUUCAUAAUAACUGUUCGAAGCGCACGGCCUCGCGCCGGCGCUAGUUCAUUCAAAUUUCUGCCCUAUCAGCUUUCGACGGUAGUGUAGUGGACUACCGUGGCGCUAACGGGUGACGGAGAAUUAGGGUUCGGUUCCGGAGAGGGAGCCUGAGAAACGGCUACCACAUCCAAGGAAGGCAGCAGG
rnacentral:rRNA from 1 species